rnacentral:lncRNA from 1 species
CUUGUAACUCUUGUCUCUUGGGUUAUGUAACUCCUAGAGUUAUAAAGUGGGGUUAUGGUUCCCAUUCUAGUGCAAUACAAGUUCUUCUUCUUCCCAUUGGAUGAAGAACCAAUUUUGUCCAUUGUCUUGCAAAUAGGGUGGAAAACCAUAAGCCAAAAUUUUGAUUCUUGUCAUAACAAUAUUAUUGUGAACCUUUCAUACAUUGUGUUAGUAUUGUGGAUACAUUCUUGUGGGUACAAGUAUACUUCAAGGAACUUGAAGGAAGGC